UUGAAGAAAUACUUAUGCAUUAAUAAAUGAUAAUAAAAAUACAAUUUUGUUAAACUGUAUUCAGCAGAACUAUCAAAAAAAAACGAGAAAAAUUAAUUGUUUUUCGUUGCGCCCGAGUGUAUGGUAUGUUAUACUCUGUCAGUAUGUUUCGCAGAGUAAUAUUUUUUGGUCACCUAACGAUUGGAUGUAACAGCUAAAAGUAAUGGAGAUAGAUAUGAGGUUAUGCCUAUAUACAGCAAAUGAUUAAAAUGACGUGACUCAUUUCGACCAUUCAAGCUAUAAAAUUGAGAUAUCUUCAUAAUACUUGGUAUAUGUGUUCCAUUUUGAAAGUGCUAAAUCGAAACAUUUCCACCCCCACAAAAUAUAAAAUAUAACAGGAAAUUUAAUUACAACGACACCUACUUCUCAUAUAAUACGGAUUUUCGACCAGAUUUCUCAUUGUACGGAAUUCGACCAGAUUUUGUAAUUUUACAAUAUAGAAAUCAAAAUCACAUUAAUAUGUCGGAUAAAACCAUGUAAUAAGGUUGUAGUGGCUUCAAAGUGUGGAUAUUCUAUUCUAAAAACUGUUCUUAUUGGAUCAAAGCCCCCGAUACUUUUUACCGAGAAUUUAUGUCAAUCAUUGCUAUACAAAAAAUCAUAAAAAUAUAGUCUGAUCCAAUUUUUUUUUUUUUGUAUACCAAAUUUUACUUUCAUAAAAUUCAAUUUGGCUUAGUUAUAGCACUUUAUAAGAUUGCGGUUGCGCCAAUUUGUGGGCGUGGAAGUGGUCGGAUUUCACCCAUCAACAAUAUUUUCACUCUUACGGUGCCAAGGAACACUAAGCUUUCUCAAGAUAUCUCAAGUUAUCGUUGGCGCGGACAAACGGACGGACAGGCAUCUGGAUUUCAAGUCUACUCGUCACCCUGAUCACUAUGGUAUAUAUAACCUAUUAGUUCUAGGUGACAGAAACAACCGUUACAUUGGGCUCCUUAAUUAAGAAGACUAAUGAAUCUAAGGCUAGGCAACACCUAGUGUCUUCGUUAUGUCUAUAACGUUGUGUGUAUAUUGCAAAAAUAGGGGAAUAUGAAGGAAUGGACUUUUUACGAGGCUUAGAAGUUCGAAGUUGCAUCCAGCACUUAAAAAUAUAUUGUCUAGUCGUUUAAAAUAUACAUACUGUAGUAUUGCCUGCGAGAACAUGCGCUCAACAAACUCCUUCACCGAGAAAAUGUCCUGUUGCAUCUUCACUGCGGUAGGUGAAAGAUCUCCGCGACCGCUUCUGGAACUACAUAAAGUAAUACAAAAUGGUUAAAUUUUCCAUGCAGAUACUAAAACUCUUAUUAUUUACCUUCUUAAUGAUUGUCUAGACUGUUCUGGUGCGCGUCGUACUUUGAUUUUCAGUAUCAAACCCUUGGAAAACUUAUUCUUCAAAUGCUGCGUUGAGCCAAUACACUUGAAUUCGCCAUUAACCAUGAUUGCCAACCGUGUGCAUAACGCCUCACACUCCUCCAUACUAUGCGAUG